GGGGGUGUAACUCAGAGGCCAGAGUGCCGGUCUCCAAAACUGGAAGUCGCAGGUUCGACUCCUGCCGCCCCCGCCA
rnacentral:tRNA from 1 species